rnacentral:rRNA from 1 species
CCUACGGGCGGCUGCAGUGGGGAAUAUUGGUCAAUGGGGGCAACCCUGAUCCAGCCAUGCCGCGUGUGUGAAGAAGGCCCUCGGGUUGUAAAGCACUUUCAGUGAGGAAGAACGCCUGGUGGUUAAUACCCAUCAGGAAAGACAUCACUCACAGAAGAAGCACCGGCUAACUCCGUGCCAGCAGCCGCGGUAAUACGGAGGGUGCGAGCGUUAAUCGGAAUUACUGGGCGUAAAGCGCGCGUAGGUGGCUUGAUAAGCCGGUUGUGAAAGCCCCGGGCUCAACCUGGGAACGGCAUCCGGAACUGUCAAGCUAGAGUGCAGGAGAGGAAGGUAGACUUCCCGGUGUAGCGGUGAAAUGCGUAGAGAUCGGGAGGAAUACCAGUGGCGAAGGCGGCCUUCUGGACUGACACUGACACUGAGGUGCGAAAGCGUGGGUAGCAAACAGGAUUAGAUACCCUAGUAGUC